CGGGUCACCACCAGCCUGCCGAGGACACUCCAGGGCAGAACUGCGGGACAAUCUGAGCCCAACCAGCAGGAGGCGCGGCAGGGGGACAUUACUGCGCAAUCUGGAAGAUCUGAAAGAAGAAUUUUCUGUUGUGCUCAGGAUGAACAGGAAGGAAUCGACCUUGGUUACAUUAUCCAAGUAAUAAACACACGAAUUGGCUGUCCUGGAUACCUGCCCGGUGCAAGAGUGCUAUGAGGCACAAAGCCAAAUGCUUUAACUGCCUGGAGAAGUGUGGGUGGCUGGUAUCUGUGCAAACCUGAAGGACUCAAUUGCUUUAACAAAAUCUCUCUCUUCCAUCUUCAUAAUGGCUCCUGUCUUAUAAGAUCACAUCAUACUAGAACCUCUCCUCCCCACCCCCACCAUUACCACAGUGGGAAGUCUCAUCCACCAGUUACAUUUCUUCUUUGAUAAAAUUCAGAGGUGUGGGGGAAAAAAAUGAAUUAACCAGUCACAUGUAGCUAUGCUAAUCGUUAUUGUUUGAUUUUUCACCUUACCCACCCCCAUUUGUUUUAUCCAUCUCGUGUCUAGUCACAUGUAAUGAUCUUUAUUCUGUGUGUGAACAAAAGGGCCCAGGUACUGUAUAGGAAUAGCACAAAAAGGCCCAGAUUCCUAUUCAGUGAGUGUAGGUGCUAUUGUAAUAUAAAUGAAUUAAAAUAAUACUAAUAAUUUCCAAAUAAUUACAAAGGUGCAGUUAGGGUUCAUUUCUAGAUAUGGUGCUUCCA